CCUGCCAUUAGAAGCAUUGUGGGCAUGGCUGCUGUGUCACACGUGCGUCAGUAGGGGGCAGAGGGGAGAGGCUGUGUGUACACUCAAUGUUCCCACCUAUGGACGACAUCGGAAUCGGUCGCCUAACGUU
rnacentral:snoRNA from 1 species